CCUACGGGAGGCAGCAGUGGGGAAUAUUGGGCAAUGGGCGCAAGCCUGACCCAGCAACGCCGCGUGAAGGAAGAAGGCUUUCGGGUUGUAAACUUCUUUUCUCAGGGACGAAGAAAGUGACGGUACCUGAGGAAUAAGCCACGGCUAACUACGUGCCAACAGCCGCGGUAAUACGUAGGUGGCAAGCGUUAUCCGGAUUUACUGGGUGUAAAGGGCGUGUAGGCGGGGAAGCAAGUCAGAUGUGAAAACCAUGGGCUCAACCUAUAGCCUGCAUUUGAAACUGUAUUUCUUGAGUGCUGGAGAGGCAGACGGAAUUCCGUGUGUAGCGGUGAAAUGCGUAGAUAUACGGAGGAACACCAGUGGCGAAGGCGGUCUGCUGGACAGCAACUGACGCUGAGGCGCGAAAGCGUGGGGAGCAAACAGGAUUAGAUACCCCGGUAGUC
rnacentral:rRNA from 1 species